rnacentral:rRNA from 1 species
GACGAACGCUGGCGGCGUGCUUAACACAUGCAAGUCGAACGGACCUUCGGGUUAGUGGCGAACGGGUGAGUAACACGUGGGUGAUCUGCCCUGCACUUUGGGAUAAGCCUGGGAAACUGGGUCUAAUACCGGAUAGGACCACGCAUUUUAUGGUGUGUGGUGGAAAGCUUUUGCGGUGUGGGAUGGGCCCGCGGCCUAUCAGCUUGUUGGUGGGGUAAUGGCCUACCAAGGCGACGACGGGUAGCCGGCCUGAGAGGGUGACCGGCCACACUGGGACUGAGAUACUGCCCAGACUCCUACGGGAGGCAGCAGUGGGGAAUAUUGCACAAUGGGCGCAAGCCUGAUGCAGCGACGCCGCGUGAGGGAUGACGGCCUUCGGGUUGUAAACCUCUUUCGCCAGGGACGAAGCGCAAGUGACGGUACCUGGAGAAGAAGGACCGGCCAACUACGUGCCAGCCGCCGCGGUAA